rnacentral:rRNA from 1 species
GUGUCAGCCGCCGCGGUAAAACGUAGGAGGCGAGCGUUAUCCGGAUUUACUGGGUGUAAAGCGCGUGCAGGCGGCUCGGAAAGUUGGAUGUGAAAGCUCCCGGCUUAACUGGGAGAGGGCGUUCAAAACUACCGGGCUUGAGUACAGGGGAGGGAAGUGGAAUUCCGGGUGUAGUGGUGAAAUGCGUAGAUAUCAGGAGGAACACCGGGGGCGAAAGCGGCUUUCUGGACUGUAACUGACGCU